AUAUCAAUAAGCGGAGGAAAAGAAACCAACAGUGAUUGCCUCAGUAACGGCGAGUGAAGCGGCAACAGCUCAAAUUUGAAAUCUGGCCCCAGGCCCGAGUUGUAAUUUGCAGAGGAUGCUUCGGGCACGGCGCCUCCCAAGUCCCCUGGAACGGGGCGCCUGAGAGGGUGAGAGCCCCGUACGGUUGGAUGCCUAGCCCAUGUGAAGCUCCUUCGACGAGUCGAGUAGUUUGGGAAUGCUGCUCAAAACGGGAGGUAGACCCCUUCUAAAGCUAAAUACCGGCCAGAGACCGAUAGCGCACAAGUAGAGUGAUCGAAAGAUGAAAAGCACUUUGAAAAGAGGGUUAAACAGCACGUGAAAUUGUUGAAAGGGAAGCGCUCGUGACCAGACUUGCGCCGGGGCGAUCAUCCGGCGUUCUCGCCGGUGCACUCGCCCCGGCUCAGGCCAGCGUCGGUUUGGGCGGGGGGAGAAAUGCGUCGGGAACGUGACUCCCCCGGGAGUGUUAUAGCCCGGCGCGUCAUGUCCCCGCCCGGACCGAGGUUCGCGCUCUGCAAGGACGCUGGCGUAAUGGUCACCAGCGGCCCGUCUUGAAACACGGACCAAGGAGUCGAGGUUCUGCGCGAGUGUCUGGGUGUCAAACCCGCACGCGCAAUGAAAGUGAACGCAGGUGGGAGCCUCGGCGCACCACCGACCGAUCCUGAUGUUCUCGGAUGGAUUUGAGUAGGAGCGUAGGGCCUCGGACCCGAAAGAUGGUGAACUAUGCUUGGAUAGGGUGAAGCCAGAGGAAACUCUGGUGGAGGCUCGCAGCGGUUCUGACGUGCAAAUCGAUCGUCAAAUCUGAGCAUGGGGGCGAAAGACUAAUCGAACCAUCUAGUAGCUGGUUACCGCCGAAUGUCUCUC
rnacentral:rRNA from 1 species